rnacentral:lncRNA from 1 species
CUUGAGACAGGGUUCUGUUAACAAAGUUGCUUAGAGCCUCACUAAAUUGCUAAGGCUGGGUUUGAACUUGCAAUCCUCCUGCUUCAUGUUUAUAAGCCACUGGGAUUAUAGGUGUGUGCCACCAAACUGGCUGAGCAAUCUUUCUUAAUGGACAAAGAACAGUAGAUGCUGUUUAACUGGUUCUUGCUCCUAUGUUAGUGAACUCUGAAUUGAAAUUUCUUUCUGCAUCUCAAAGAGUACAAUAUAGUGUACAGCAAUUCUAAAAGGGUGGAAGUUAUAUGGUUUCUGUAAACUUCUUUUCUGGAUGUAAUCCAUUAAACAUCAGUGUGUGUAGCAGUUAAAUAGGAAUUUUGGUCAGAGGACAGUGGAAGGCUGGGCUGGCACUACACUGUUACUCCAACAGCAUCAUUCAAACACCAGCAUUCUGGGCUGGGGAUGUGGCUUGCCUCACAUGUGUGAGGCCUUGGGUUUGAUACUCAGUUCCACAGACAACUCAUUGUUCUGUUUUCAUUAAUGAAAUACAAAGUAUUUUUGGAGGAAUGAAGGAUAAAUUACUCAUUUAUAUAUCUUAUGUGUUAUAACAUGACACGAAUCAUUUGCUUAUGUGAUAAACACUACUACAUUUAAGAUCAGAAUUGUUUUGAAUAUUUAAAGUCACUUUAAACAUGGUCAGGAUUGAUAAUAGCAUUGCUGGUAAGGCCAUUCCAUAGAUGUCAUUUUACUAAAGAGAUCUUGAUCUUGCCUGGCUUUGCAAGAUAUGACAAUGAAGGCUAGCUGAAUGCCAAAACUUGGAAGAUAAAUUGUUGCCCACACCAGCUCUGCCACUAUGUUUUUUCUCCUCCAUGCCAAGGC